CAUGAUUUUUAAACAUUAACUAUUUAAUGUUUUCAAGUAUGUAAUGCGAGUGAUAAAGUAGAGUACUUAUUUGAGUGAGAGGAGCUAAUUUGAGAGGUUUUGUCUGGUUCCUGCUGUGAAGCCACGGUUUAUGUGUAUUUGCAAUCCAGAUAGCUGCCUCACUGACCUCUAGUGGUGGGGUCCUGAUGGGGGGGACAAUGGCUAACAGUGGGUUCUAGAAGCCAGUACAAAUGAUGUAAUGAAGUCAAAAGGAACAUGUGGCCUUGCCUAAGUUUGGUCAACAUUGAUGGGAGCUUUCUGUAAGCCAGAAACUUCAAUGUAAACAGAUGCUAUUUUCCAUUCAUAUUCAGCUGUAAUGAGCAAAUUUAAUGUAUUAAAACAACAAAAGAACUUCAAGAAUGAGUCAGUGAUUCAAGUUGCAUGGAAACCAAGGGAAAAAUCAAGCAUGAAGUUUGCAAAACCGUUCCAAAAUUCCGUUUUCGAUAAGGAAUUGUGGAGCCCCUGUUCUUUGAGUCUGCUUAGCCAAUGCUGUCUGCGCACCUUUGCAUGAUAAACAGAGUUCCCAGCCAAGGAAAAGAAGAAACAGUGUGUGAGCAGAUAGUCACAAUUAAGUCUGCAAAUUUAUUUUUUUAGCUAGUCUUUGCCUAAAUGAAGACCGAAGUACUCCGAAAAUCUACAAUUACAUGAUUCUAAAAGAGGCAAGUUUGUGAUGUAUCUUUCUUUGGGUAUUUCUUUGAAUAGCCUAGAGUAACGAAAGACCUAGAUGUGGUGCUAAACCAUAGAUAUGGAUGGACUCAAAUCACCUCUAUAUAUUACCUUCUCAAUCCUUACCAAAUCAAUUUCUGGUAUGGACAGCACACCCAGUUUCCCCAGAUGCUCUCCCUGAAACCAAAGGUGGAACUAUGACUGAGGAUUUUCUCAGUAUUUUCAUCAAAGCCGAAUAAUAUCUUCUCAUCAUAGUGCAAAGGAAUUUCAGUUUCUGAUAUCCUAUUUGACUUUGACAAUAAAUCAAAAGAUCCUGCUCCUUC